rnacentral:ncRNA from 1 species
CUGCCGGGACGACCCGGCGCGACAUGAGGAUUGGGCCAGGACGACCUGG